rnacentral:lncRNA from 1 species
ACGGUGCUUUGGCCGAGAUUGUCAAUGAUUACUCCUCUGUCUUGAAGAAGUUGGACUCGGAGGAAGUUGACAGCGCUGAUGCCAGCGCAUUCGCGUCCACUGGAGCCUUGUCGACGUGGUUUGAUUGCUUCAAGGAUGACAUCUGCACAGUGACAAAAUCCACGCCGAAGGAAUCUGCGCUUUUGGUACCGAAAUUGUCUCCUGCGGACGGUCCUCAGGACGCUGCUGGCGUACUCCAGUCUGUGCCGAAAAGCAGGAAGUCUCGUAAAUCAGUUGCUGGAGAGCAGGGCCAUGCCCAGCAUGACUCCGAGAUGGAUGAUGUGGCGCCUGCCCUUAUUGAUGAGAAGAGAAAAAGAAGGUGUGUUUUUCAUAAACGUUUACGUUCCCCGGCCUUCUUUUUUAGUCCUAGCGAUGAGCCAGGAGUUGAGAUCUUUUUCGAUGCUAUGGGUGCAGGAUGUCCUCGAACCGUGCAUCGGCACAACGAUCUCGGCAAAGGAAACAGGAGCGUUUGGACGAACUCGAAAUUUUGGUACGCUGACGCUUUGAAGCCUGUUCAUGUCACGUCGAUUGGUGAUUGCUUGUCAUCCUCAGAUUGGAGCAUAGAUUGCUUAAACCAGUCUGUCAAGGGAAAACUGUGGAAUUACGAAACUGUUUCUUUGUGAUGUUUUGUGAGGCGGCCUAUCGACUAUUUCAAACAUUUUAUUUUAAAUUUUUUUAUUUGUUUAUUUUUGUUUGUUUUCUCUUUUUGUGCAGACUGCUCAGUUGCGGCUGGAGAACGCAACUCUUUCUCGCAGGUCACAGUUGGCUGAACAGCGCGCCAAAAUAUUUCAAGGAGAGAGGAACAACCUGGCGAAGAUGGUUGACGGAUUGCGAAAAGAGCUGGAUGCGAUCCGACAACAGAAUGUGCAAGGCUCGCCCGAUUGUGGAACUGAAAGCUUCACAAGUGGAAAUCACACCUCUGGUCUUUGUAAUAUGGUAAGUAGCUUCAUCUGCUGCAGUAUUCACCUAGUUUUGUUUGGUUUUUUUCAAAGAGGUUUAUUCACUUCGAAGUUGAACAUCAGGCUUAGGAAAGCGUUACCGUAUGCAAACAUCUACUCACCUAAGCAAGUUGUGGCCUUGACGCUGUGGACUAAAGAUACCAUCUUUUAUAAUUCAGGUCGGAGGAGGCGAAGCUUCUCAAGUCGCAGAUGUGAAGCUUGAAACAUCAUCCAAGGGCGACCUCAAGAACGUGUAUGGAAAUUUCGAUGCCAUGAAGCGCAACAUCUCCAGCUCCGACCUGUCCCGAGGCAUCUAUGGGGAUCUGUAUUCUGUGUUGGAUUCCAUCCAAUUUGACGUUGGUAUUGGUGCCGAAGUGCCGGAUCUCCUGAAAGAGGAGUGGUAUGGGUCAUUCACGGAGUGUUUGAAUGCGUGAUCUCGGCUGCUUC